rnacentral:rRNA from 1 species
UGGGGAAUAUUGGGCAAUGGGCGAAAGCCUGACCCAGCGACGCCGCGUGAGGGAAGAAGGUCUUCGGAUUGUAAACCUCUUUCAGCAGGGAAGAAUAAUGACGGUACCUGCAGAAGAAGUCACGGCUAACUACGUGCCAGCAGCCGCGGUAAUACGUAGGUGGCGAGCGUUAUCCGGAAUUACUGGGUGUAAAGGGUGUGUAGGCGGGGAGUUAAGUCAGAUGUGAAAAUUACGGGCUCAACCCGUAACCUGCGUCUGAAACUGAUUCUCUUGAGAGUGGGAGAGGUAAACGGAAUUCCCGGUGUAGCGGUGAAAUGCGUAGAGAUCGGGAGGAACACCAGUGGCGAAGGCGGUUUACUGGACCAUUACUGACGC